rnacentral:rRNA from 1 species
UACAGAGGGUGCAAGCGUUAUUCGGAAUUAUUGGGCGUAAAGAGCGCGUAGGCGGUCUGAUAAGUCUGGUGUGAAAUCCCUGGACUCAAUUCAGGAAGCGCAUUGGAUACUGUCAGACUCGAGUACAGGAGAGGUGAGCGGAAUUCCCGGUGUAGAGGUGAAAUUCGUAGAUAUCGGGAGGAACAACAGUGGCGAAGGCGGCUCACGGGACUGUAAAUGACGAUGAGGCGCGAAAGCGUGGGGAGCAAACAGG